ACGAGAGGAAAAUAUCGGACGGAACGGAUCCGAAAUUCCGAAAUUUCUUUUUAUAUACAAUUAAGAGGGAGUUCACGUCCGGUCAUUCUUCGUGUCCACGUUCAUCUCCAACACCUGCUUCCUCCCGCUUUUGCUCCUCCUCCUCCCUGCUCUUCCCCACUCCUACUAGCCGUGACGGUAGCUCCUCCUCCUGGUCCCUCUUCGCUGGUGAGGGGGUGCAAGGGAGCGAUUGCGCGGAGCUGCAGUCCAUCGCGGACGGGGAUACGUGCAUUUGAGCACCCCCGCGCCACCCCUUCAACGCCUCCACGACCUCUUCCUCCGGCGGCCCUCCUCGCCACAGCUCGGAGACGGCUGUAGCAGGUCAGGGCUCGCUAGAUCCAGCAACUCCUUUGUUGGAUCCAGUGAUCCCAGGGCGAAUCGGGCCUCCAAAAAGGUCACUCAGUAGGGCUGGCUCCUCUCCUUCCCUCCCGCGCGCACAUUGGCUGUGAUCCGUAUUUAGGUUGGUGGUUAUGAGAGCUGGAUUUUUCCAUGCUACAACAAAUGAAUUUUGAUGUUUCAGAUAUUGAUUUGUCAUGUUGCUUUGUUUUCUUAAUGUAACCAUACAAGAAUUGAGAUGCUACAAAAGAAUGUUUGAGAUGUUGCAAAGGACAAUUUUUAAUGUUGCAACUGGUGAUUCGGACGAGAUUUUAAUUUUUUUUAUUUUUCCUUUGAUGAUGCACUUGUUUGAAGAUGUUGCAGUUCUUAUUUAUGAAUGUUGCCGUGUCACAUUUUGGAUGUUGCGGUGUAACAUUGUGGUUGUUAUUUAUCAUGUGGUGAAUUUUUGUUUGAAAAUGUUACAUGAAACAUGUGUUUAAUGUUGCGGUGGGAUUUUUUUUUCCAGAAACGAUAUUAACAUUGAACGAUUUUUCGCAUAUUUUUUCGAUGUUGCAGAUGUUAUGUUUUUUAAGGGUUAACGGGGGAGAUCCCCACCUGAUUCAUAAGGGCCUUAAGCAGGCCAAAAGUCUAGUACAUCAUUUUCAGCAUGGAAAAUAGUGGGGAGGGGAGGUAUACAGAUACUACGAGUGUUUACGUUGAAGCGAACAGUGGCACUAUACAUCAGCUACAAAUUUCGGCAUAUUCGCUUUAGCUUAUUCAGCCGGCUUAUCAGCCAUCAAAUGUUAUUUUGGAGUGUCUGAUGGAAGACGUCCCGGCCCUCGCAACACCGUUUUAGGCCAUGUUUAGUUUCCUCUCAACUCCCAACUUUGACACUAUGCAAAAAGAAGAUUCC
rnacentral:lncRNA from 1 species